rnacentral:rRNA from 1 species
ACGAACGCUGGCGGCGUGCUUAACACAUGCAAGUCGAGCGGUAAGGCCCUUUCGGGGGUACACGAGCGGCGAACGGGUGAGUAACACGUGGGUGACCUGCCCUCAGCUCUGGGAUAAGCCUGGGAAACCGGGUCUAAUACCGGAUAUGACUCCAUGACGCAUGUUGUGGGGUGGAAAGCCUUGUGCGGCUGAGGAUGGGCCCGCGGCCUAUCAGCUUGUUGGUGGGGUGAUGGCCACCAAGGCGACGACGGGUAGCCGGCCUGAGAGGGCGACCGGCCACACUGGGACUGAGACACGGCCCAGACUCCUACGGGAGGCAGCAGUGGGGAAUCUUGCGCAAUGGGCGAAAGCCUGACGCAGCGACGCCGCGUGAGGGAUGACGGCCU